rnacentral:rRNA from 1 species
AUUGAACGCUGGCGGCAGGCCUAACACAUGCAAGUCGAACGCGUGGCGGACGGGUGAGUAAUUUCUGGGAAACUGCCUGCUGGAGGGGGAUAACUACUGUAAACGGUAGCUAAUACCGCAUACCAUCGGAUGUGCCCAGAUGGGAUUAGCUAGUAGGUGGGGUAAAGGCUCACCUAGGCGACGAGCCCUAGCUGGUCUGAGAGGAUGACAAGCCACACUGGAAAGGAGACACGGUCCAGACGCCUACGGGAGGCAGCAGUGGGGAAGAUUGCACAAUGGGCGCAAGCCUGAUGCAGCCAUGCCGCGUGUAUGAAGAAGGCCUUCGGGUUGUAAAGUACUUUAAGCGGGGAGGCGUUACCCGCAGAAGAAGCACCGGCUAACUCCGUGCCAGCAGCCGCGGUAAUAC